rnacentral:misc_RNA from 1 species
GAUGAAGAACGCAGCAAAAUGCGAUAAGUAAUGUGAAUUGCAGAAUUCAGUGAAUCAUCGAAUCUUUGAACGCACAUUGCGCCCGCCAGUAUUCUGGCGGGCAUGCCUGUUCGAGCGUCAUUUCAACCCUCAAGCACAGCUUGGUGUUGGGACUCGCGUUAAUUCGCGUUCCCCAAAUUGAUUGGCGGUCACGUCGAGCUUCCAUAGCGUAGUAGUAAAACCCUCGUUACUGGUAAUCGUCGCGGCCACGCCGUUAAACCCCAACUUCUGAAUGUUGACCUCGGAUCAGGUAGGAAUACCCGCUGAACUUAAGCAUAUCAAUAAUCGGAGGA